AUUGAACGCUGGCGGCAGGCCUAACACAUGCAAGUCGAAAGAGUGGCGGACGGGUGAGUAAUGUCUGGGAAACUGCCAGAUGGAGGGGGAUAACUACUGGUAAUGGUAGCUCAUACCGCAUACCAUCGGAUGUGCCCCGAUGGGAUUAGCUAGUAGGUGGAGUACCGGCUCACCUAGGCGACGAUCACUAGCUGGUCUGAGAGGGUGACUAGCCACGCGGGAGCUGAGACACAGGACAGGCUCCUGCGGUAGGCAGCCGUGGGGAAUGUUGCAAAGAUGGGGAAAGCCUGAUGCAGCCAUGCCGCGUGUAUGAAGGAGGCCUUCGGGUUGUAAAGUACUUACAGCGAGGAGGCGUUACUCGCAGAAAAGGCACCGGCAGACUCCGUGCCAGCCACCGCGGUAAUUC
rnacentral:rRNA from 1 species